rnacentral:rRNA from 1 species
AUUGAACGCUGGCGGCAGGCCUAACACAUGCAAGUCGAGCGGAUGAGGGGAGCUUGCUCCUUGAUUCAGCGGCGGACGGAUGAGUAAUGCCUAGGAAUCUGCCUGGUAGUGGGGGAUAACGUUCCGAAAGGAACGCUAAUACCGCAUACGUCCUACGGGAGAAAGCAGGGGACCUUCGGGCCUUGCGCUAUCAGAUGAGCCUAGGUCGGAUUAGCUAGUGGGUGAGGUAAUGGUUCCCCAAGGCGACGAUCCGUAACGGGUCUGAGAGGAUGAUCAGUCACACUGGAACUGAGACACGGUCCAGACUCCUACGGGAGGCAGCAGGGGGGAAUAUUGGACAAUGGGCGAAAGCCUGAUCCAGCCAUGCCGCGUGUGUGAAGAAGGUCUUCGGAUUGUAAAGCACUUUAAGUUGGGAGGAAGGGCAGUAAGUUAAUACCUUGCUGUUUUGACGUUACCAACAGAAUAAGCACCGGCUAACUUCGUGCCAGCCGCCGCGGUAA